rnacentral:tRNA from 1 species
UCCCUGGAGGACUAGUGGUUAGGCCCCGGUGCUCUCGCCGCCGCAGCCUGGGAUCGAUUCCUGGCCAGGGAA